UGUUUCGGCUAGGGGGCCAUCCCGGCUUACCAACCCGAUGCAAACUGCGAAUACCGGAGAAUGUUAUCACGGGAGACACACGGCGGGUGCUAACGUCCGUCGUGAAGAGGGAAACAACCCAGACCGCCAGCUAAGGUCCCAAAGUCAUGGUUAAGUGGGAAACGAUGUGGGAAGGCCCAGACAGCCAGGAUGUUGGCUUAGAAGCAGCCAUCAUUUAAAGAAAGCGUAAUAGCUCACUGGUCGAGUCGGCCUGCGCGGAAGAUGUAACGGGGCUAAACCAUGCACCGAAGCUGCGGCAGCGACACUAUGUGUUGUUGGGUAGGGGAGCGUUCUGUAAGCCUGUGAAGGUGGCCUGUGAGGGUUGCUGGAGGUAUCAGAAGUGCGAAUGCUGACAUAAGUAACGAUAAAGCGGGUGAAAAGCCCGCUCGCCGGAAGACCAAGGGUUCCUGUCCAACGUUAAUCGGGGCAGGGUGAGUCGACCCCUAAGGCGAGGCCGAAAGGCGUAGUCGAUGGGAAACGGGUUAAUAUUCCCGUACUUGGUGUUACUGCGAAGGGGGGACGGAGAAGGCUAUGUUGGCCGGGCGACGGUUGUCCCGGUUUAAGCGUGUAGGUGUGUGUUCCAGGUAAAUCCGGUUCACUUUAACACUGAGGCGUGAUGACGAGGCACUACGGUGCUGAAGCAACAAAUGCCCUGCUUCCAGGAAAAGCCUCUAAGCAUCAGGUAACAUCAAAUCGUACCCCAAACCGACACAGGUGGUCAGGUAGAGAAUACCAAGGCGCUUGAGAGAACUCGGGUGAAGGAACUAGGCAAAAUGGUGCCGUAACUUCGGGAGAAGGCACGCUGACAUGUAGGUGAAGUGAUUUACUCAUGGAGCUGAAGUCAGUCGAAGAUACCAGCUGGCUGCAACUGUUUAUUAAAAACACAGCACUGUGCAAACACGAAAGUGGACGUAUACGGUGUGACGCCUGCCCGGUGCCGGAAGGUUAAUUGAUGGGGUCAGCGCAAGCGAAGCUCCUGAUCGAAGCCCCGGUAAACGGCGGCCGUAACUAUAACGGUCCUAAGGUAGCGAAAUUCCUUGUCGGGUAAGUUCCGACCUGCACGAAUGGCGUAAUGAUGGCCAGGCUGUCUCCACCCGAGACUCAGUGAAAUUGAACUCGCUGUGAAGAUGCAGUGUACCCGCGGCAAGACGGAAAGACCCCGUGAACCUUUACUAUAGCUUGACACUGAACAUUGAGCCUUGAUGUGUAGGAUAGGUGGGAGGCUUUGAAGUGUGG
rnacentral:rRNA from 2 species